rnacentral:rRNA from 1 species
AUUGAACGCUGGCGGCAUGCCUAACACAUGCAAGUCGAACGAGUGGCGGACGGGUGAGUAAUGUCGGGGAAACUGCCCGAUGGAGGGGUAUAACUACUGGAAACCGUAGCUAAUACCGCAUAACGUCGUAUGGGGCCAGAUGGUGUUAGAUAGUGGGUGGGGUAACGGCUCACCUAGGCGACGAUCCCUAGCUGGUCUGAGAGGAUGACCAGCCACACUGGAACGGAGACACGGUCCAGACUCCUACGGGAGGCAGCAGUGGGGAAUCUUGCACAAUGGGCGCAAGUCUGAUGCAGCCAUGCCGCGUGUAUGAAGAAGGUCUUCGGGUUGUAAAGUACUUUCAGCGAGGAGGCGUUACCUGAAGAAGAAGCACCGGCUAACUCCGUGCCAGCAGCCGCGGUAAUAC